rnacentral:sRNA from 1 species
GCCGCGCAGUCACCGCGGAGCAGACGCGGAGGCUGGUGGCCCCUGGGCGAGAUGCCGUACGCUAACCAGCCUACCGUGCGGAUCACGGAGCUCACUGACGAGAAUGUCAAGUUCAUCAUCGAGAACACCGACCUGGCGGUGGCCAAUUCGAUUCGGAGGGUCUUCAUCGCUGAGGUGCCCAUAAUAGCCAUUGACUGGGUUCAGAUUGAUGCCAAUUCCUCAGUCCUUCAUGAUGAAUUCAUCGCGCACAGGCUUGGAUUAAUUCCCCUCAUUAGUGAUGACAUUGUGGACAAGCUGCAGUACUCUCGGGACUGCACAUGUGAGGAGUUCUGCCCCGAGUGCUCGGUGGAGUUCACCCUCGAUGUGCGGUGCAAUGAAGACCAGACGCGACAUGUCACGUCUCGAGACCUCAUCUCCAACAGCCCCCGGGUCAUUCCGGUGACAUCCCGGAACCGAGAUAAUGACCCCAAUGACUACGUGGAGCAGGAUGACAUCCUCAUCGUCAAGUUGAGAAAGGGCCAGGAGCUGAGACUUCGAGCCUAUGCCAAAAAGGGCUUUGGCAAGGAGCAUGCCAAGUGGAACCCUACUGCAGGGGUGGCUUUUGAAUACGAUCCAGACAAUGCCCUGAGGCACACAGUGUACCCCAAGCCCGAGGAAUGGCUCUCUAGGAACUUGGGUGCCCCAAAAGGAGCAGUGGCAACCUUGUGCUGACCUGUGUUU